rnacentral:rRNA from 1 species
UGGGGAAUAUUGGACAAUGGGCGCAAGCCUGAUCCAGCCAUGCCGCGUGGGUGAUGAAGGCCUUAGGGUUGUAAAGCCCUUUCGGCGGGGAAGAUAAUGACGGUACCCGCAGAAGAAGCCCCGGCUAACUUCGUGCCAGCAGCCGCGGUAAUACGAAGGGGGCUAGCGUUGCUCGGAAUUACUGGGCGUAAAGCGCACGUAGGCGGCUGCGCAAGUUGGGGGUGAAAUCCCGGGGCUUAACCUCGGAAUUGCCCUCAAAACUGCACGUCUUGAGACCGAGAGAGGUAAGGGGAAUUCCUAGUGUAGAGGUGAAAUUCGUAGAUAUUAGGAAGAACACCAGGGGCGAAGGCGCCUUACUGGCUCGGUACUGACGCUGAGGUACGAAAGCGUGGGGAGCAAACA